GAAUGUGAUUGGUUACAUCUGAACGAAGCCACACCCCCACUUAUUAAAGGGUGAACACACUUCUGUAACCACAUAACCUCAGCGGUUUCUGUUGUUCAGGUCAAAGGUCAAAGGUGUAGCAAUCAAGACAACCCUGGAUGUGAAACCCACACAUUCCUUACAGGAAAGUUUCCUUAUCUGGUCCCAGGAAACAGGAUAUAAAUCUUUCCAGACGUGUUUGCCCUUUCAGGUUAAAUAAGUGACCCAACCGGAGGUUGACUAAACCUCUGACUCUUCAGGAUUGGUCAGUUCGGCGAACAGAGACAGAGUUUUUAUUACCUUUCAAACUGACUCCA